GCUAUAGUAAAACGGCUCUUUUAUGUUAUUAAUUCGCGCCAAAUGAAAAAUAAGGCGCCAAAAAUCGGAACGCGAUUGCGAAAUAAGCCCUAGCCCCUCAAUGCCUCGUCCCGACCUCUCGCUCUCCAAGUGCGACAUUUCUGUAGCGAUCUCCUCCAAGUGCGACAUCUCUCUAGCGAUUUCCUCCGAGCACGAUCUGCCUCCUUCCUAGCCGCCUCCUCCCCAACCGUGGACGACGGCGACGCUGACGCCCAAGCCAAAGCCGACGUUGAAUCCCUAGCUCAUUCUGUACGUCGUCUAGACCUCUCGCGAUCUCCUCCGAGAGCCCAUAUCGGACGUUGACAAUGAAGCCGACGCCGACACCGACACCAACGCCGACGCAUCUGCUUCCCUUCUAACAGAACUUCGCCGUUCUGUCGUUCGCCGCUCUCUUCUUCACCUUUUACUUCUUGAAUCAUACCUAAAAUUAAGCAAACAUUGGUUGAAUUUUAAAAUGAAUAAGAGUUGGAUAUCCAAGUCAAGAUGGUGGCUAUGAAGUGCAAAAGAGAAAUUAGGUGAUCAUUGAUGCUUAAAAGGGACACGAUGUUUUGUUUUGAAAUAUUAUAAGAAUUUUGAUUUUAUGUUCGGCUCUAGAUAGUAAUAUAAUAUUUUGAUGUAUGACAAUUUAGAUAUUUUUAUCUAGAUAGUAAUUUUGAUUUUAUGUUCGGUUCAGAGUGAUAGUUCAUUGUAAUUAGCUAAAUAUGAUGAUGGAAGUGUUGGAGAAAUGAGGUAUUCAAACUCCCACGUUUUAUGAUUUACAUAAUCUGCUUGUGGGCCAUCAGAUUGGCUCAACUGCUUACUUUCCUUAACAUGCAAAUUCCGAGGUAUUGUUUGAGGUGUAUGAUUUCUUGUCAUAAUGUUGGUUUUGUUAGAAUGUCAAAUCUGUUUUGGAUACUGCAAUCAAAGUUGUCUCCAACCUUCAAGGAAAAGGGAGAUUUUUAAGAAGAAGAAGAGUUUUGGUUGUUGAUGAUGUAAGUGCUCUGUUUUUUUCCUACACUUAUGAUUCUUGUUUGGUUUGCAAUCUUCUGCAGUGAUCAAUACUCCUGUUACUGCUAAUAUAAACAACGCAAUUAUAACUCCACCAGUUGCUACUGUACCAGUUGGAGUCAUAAAUCCAGCAGCUAGCUUUCUCCCGUCUUUAGACCCUCGUUUAUCUCAGGUUUAUGCAGCAUAACUCCUCUAAUUAACUCUCUUAUAUGACUUACGAUGAUAGUUUUAAAAAUGACUUAUAAUAAAUCUGCGCAUUUGGUAAUAUCCCAUGUUUUCUUUCCUUAUCUUUCCCUUCAUUUCUGUAAUGCAUGAUUCUUAUGUGCUGACCUUUCUUUCCGGUAUUGUUUGGCAUCCCAUCACUUUCGGUAUUGUUGGCAAUGGUUACUUUUUUCUGCAGGUUGCCUCUUUUUCCAUUCUCUUCUUCUAAUCACAUGGAUACAUAAGUGCAUGUUGUACAGUUCUCUAUUUAUAAAAUUAUAAUAUACUUAGUAGUUAAUAUAAGCUUAUAUUUCUUUUCUUUUUCAGGUUAAUCAAGCAAGGGUUUAGGAUUGAACAAGUGAUUGCUAGACGAGGGACUGACGAAGAGAGUUGGAUCACAUGAGCUGUUGUGGUUGCUAGUGAAUAUAUAUAUAUUUUUUGUGUAUUCACUGCUGUAUAUUUUAAGUCUUUGUAUUAGCCACUGAGAACUAGUUGUAUUCAUUUAAUUCUAUAUAUGUUGAAGAAUCAAUUUUGAUAU